UACGAAGGGUGCAAGCGUUACUCGGAAUUACUGGGCGUAAAGCGUGCGUAGGUGGUUUGUUAAGUCCGAUGUGAAAGCCCUGGGCUCAACCUGGGAAUGGCAUUGGAUACUGGCAGGCUAGAGUGCGGUAGAGGGCAGUGGAAUUCCCGGUGUAGCAGUGAAAUGCGUAGAGAUCAGGAGGAACAUCUGUGGCGAAGGCGACUGCCUGGACCAGCACUGACACUGAGGCACGAAAGCGUGGGGAGCAAACAGG
rnacentral:rRNA from 1 species